ACCAGACUCCUACGGGAGGCAGCAGUGGGGAAUAUUGCACAAUGGGGGAAACCCUGAUGCAGCAACGCCGCGUGAGUGAAGAAGUCAUUCGUGAUGUAAAGCUCUCUCAGCAGGGAAGAAAAUGACGGUACCUGAGUAAGAAGCCCCGGCUAACUACGUGCCAGCAGCCGCGGUAAUACGUAGGGGGCAAGCGUUAUCCGGAUUUACUGGGCGUAAAGGGAGCGUAGACGGCCAGACAAGUCUGAAGUGAAAAUCCAGCGCUUAACGUUGGAAGUGCUUUGGAACUGCGUGGCUGGAGUGCAGGAGGGGCAGGCGGAAUUCCUGGUGUAGCGGUGAAAUGCGUAGAUAUCAGGAGGAACACCGGUGGCGAAGGCGGCCUGCUGGACUGCAACUGACGUUGAGGCCCGAAAGCGUGGGGAGCAAACAGGAUUAGAUACCCGCGUAGU
rnacentral:rRNA from 1 species